rnacentral:rRNA from 1 species
ACAAACGACUCUGGGCAACGGAUAUCUCGGCUCACGCAUCGAUGAAGAACGUAGCAAAAUGCGA